UGGGGGAUAUUGCACAAUGGGCGAAAGCCUGAUGCAGCGACGCCGCGUGGGGGAUGAAGGCUUUCGGGUUGUAAACCUCUUUCGCUAUCGAACAAGGCCCGCUUAGGGUGGGUUGAGGGGAGGUGGAGAAGAAGCGCCGGCUAACUACGUGCCAGCAGCCGCGGUAAUACGUAGGGCGCGAGCGUUGUCCGGAAUUAUUGGGCGUAAAGGGCUUGUAGGCGGCUUGUUGCGCCUGCUGUGAAAACGCGGGGCUUAACUUCGCGCGUGCAGUGGGUACGGGCAGGCUUGAGUGUGGUAGGGGUGACUGGAAUUCCAGGUGUAGCGGUGGAAUGCGCAGAUCUCUGGAGGAACACCGAUGGCGAAGGCAGGUCACUGGGCCAUUACUGACGCUGAGGAGCGAAAGCAUGGGUAGCGAACAGG
rnacentral:rRNA from 1 species